rnacentral:rRNA from 1 species
CCUACGGGAGGCAGCAGUGAGGAAUAUUGGUCAAUGGGCGCUAGCCUGAACCAGCCAAGUAGCGUGAAGGAUGACUGCCCUAUGGGUUGUAAACUUCUUUUAUAUGGGAAUAAAGUGCAGUAUGUAUACUGCUUUGCAUGUACCUUAUGAAUAAGGAUCGGCUAACUCCGUGCCAGCAGCCGCGGUAAUACGGAGGAUUCGAGCGUUAUCCGGAUUUAUUGGGGUUAAAGGGAGCGUAGGCGGGUUGUUAAGUCAGUUGUGAAAGUUUGCGGCUCAACCGUAAAAUUGCAGUUGAUACUGGCAGCCUUGAGUACAGUAGAGGUAGGCGGUAUUCGUGGUGUAGCGGUGAAAUGCUUAGAUAUCACGAAGAACUCCGAUUGCGAAGGCAGCCUGCUGGACUGUAACUGACGCUGAUGCUCGAAAGUGUGGGUAUCAAACAGGAUUAGAUACCCCAGUAGUC